rnacentral:rRNA from 1 species
UGCUAUCUGCAGUCGAGCGGAAGAAGGGAGCUUGCUCCCGGAUGUUAGCGGCGGACGGGUGAGUAACACGUGGGUAACCUGCCUGUAAGACUGGGAUAACUCCGGGAAACCGGAGCUAAUACCGGAUAGUUCCUUGAACCGCAUGGUUCAAGGAUGAAAGACGGUUUCGGCUGUCACUUACAGAUGGACCCGCGGCGCAUUAGCUAGUUGGUGGGGUAAUGGCUCACCAAGGCGACGAUGCGUAGCCGACCUGAGAGGGUGAUCGGCCACACUGGGACUGAGACACGGCCCAGACUCCUACGGGAGGCAGCAGUAGGGAAUCUUCCGCAAUGGACGAAAGUCUGACGGAGCAACGCCGCGUGAGUGAUGAAGGUUUUCGGAUCGUAAAGCUCUGUUGUUAGGGAAGAACAAGUGCGAGAGUAACUGCUCGCACCUUGACGGUACCUAACCAGAAAGCCACGGCUAACUACGUGCCAGCAGCCGCGGUAAUACGUAGGUGGCAAGCGUUGUCCGGAAUUAUUGGGCGUAAAGGGCUCGCAGGCGGUUUCUUAAGUCUGAUGUGAAAGCCCCCGGCUCAACCGGGGAGGGUCAUUGGAAACUGGGAAACUUGAGUGCAGAAGAGGAGAGUGGAAUUCCACGUGUAGCGGUGAAAUG